rnacentral:rRNA from 1 species
GAUGAACGCUGGCGGCGUGCUUAACACAUGCAAGUUGAACGAAGCUUAUAGCACCUAUUCCUUCGGGGAGAAGUGUUAUAAGACUUAGUGGCGAACGGGUGAGUAACACGUGAGCAACCAACCCCUUACAGUGGAAUAACAACGGGAAACCGUUGCUAAUACCGCAUAAUAUCGCUAUAUGGCAUCAUAUGGAGAUCAAAGAUUUAUCGGUGAGGGACGGGCUCGCGUCCGAUUAGGUAGUAGGUAAGGUAACGGCUUACCUAGCCGACGAUCGGUAGCCGGACUGAGAGGUCGAUCGGCCACAUUGGGACUGAGACACGGCCCAGACUCCUACGGGAGGCAGCAGUGGGGAAUAUUGGGCAAUGGGGGCAACCCUGACCCAGCGACGCCGCGUGAAGGACGAAGGCAUUCGUGUUGUAAACUUCUUUGGAGAGGGACGAAAAUGACGGUACCUCUCGAACAAGCCACGGCUAACUACGUG